rnacentral:misc_RNA from 1 species
CUCUCAGGGUUUAAGUGAUCCAGAAGAGGCAGUGAUAUGUGAAGCUAUCUCCUCCAUGACAGUAUUGUGUAUCAAUUGGACUCUUUAACUUAAGAUUCCUCAUAUCAUCACUACAACAAAUAGUACCUUUCAUAGCACACCCUAAUAUAUGGGCCAGAUAUGGUUCAGUUGGUUUCAUAAUGGCAGCUGCUAGUCAGUUGGAUGAUAUUGAUGCUUUGUGUUACAUUGCUCCAGUAGUGCAACCAUUCCUUAAGUAUAACAGCAUACUAGAACUGGAUAAUAAGUCUAGCUAAGGUUGAGAUUAGUGACUGGAGGCACUGACAAGUUCAUCAGGCAUCUCAAUAAUCCUUCGGAGUCCAGCUGUAUAGUGAAGGCUGGGGUUGGAUCUGAGAAAAUUGACAUAUUUUAUAGUUCUCAAGUCAUAGAAGGAGUCAAAGCUUUAAGAGAGUUAAAAACAGCAUCAAGAGGAGGAGG